CUUCCAAAAGGUGCUCGAGGAUCACGGCGACGGCAAUAAAUUUGCUGCAUGUGGUCUGGUCAAAUCAAAGACGCGUAUCGUAAAAUGUGGCCGAACAACAAUGUCAAUACGUCUCGCAUCUUCAUUUCCAGCGGCGUGGAUGACUCCACCUAAUAAAGGCAGUUGACGCUUAUCUACUAACUUGUCUCGUAUCGUUCGGUAUUUUGAGCACUUCUAGUUCGUCUUACCUGCGAAAAGAAUAUUCCGUGUGGAAGUGGUGGAAACGUAACCCGGGUGUAUAACAACUCUUUUGUCGACGACAAUGUGACGAAAGUGGAUAUAGAAAAGCACCUGUUGGGAGUCACACACUCGAAGCAUCUUCAACAAAAGUUGCAGGUCGCACUCCCUGAUGAAGGAGAGCAGGAGUCCUGCUGCUGUGAAGCUUGAGGCUUUGGAGGGCCAGGCGCCUAAGAUUUUGCGCAUGGUCAGGAGUCCGUUAUGAAGGUGCAGCAGUCCAUUCUCUAAGACUUUCCUUUGUGUGGAGAAUUUUUUACAGUACAGAAGUAAGUGUGUCUCAUCUUCUACUUCUGUGCAGGUGUGACACAUAGGUGAGGAUACAAUUUUUAGUUUGUGUUUGUAAGCUUCUGUGUUUGCAACACCCAUUCUGAGUCUGUGAAUCAGUGCUUCUUGUUGCCUUGGCAUGUGUUUUGUGAAGUGGUACUGGUAAGAUCUGUCGAGAUGGGUCAGUCUUCUGUUUCUCCAUUCAGGAUCCUUAUAUAGUUGAUCGAUCUGAGCCUUUGUAAUUUCGCAGAUUAUUGCUCUGUUGUCUGACUUUGAAAGAGGUAUGGCUGUUGUUGUAUCUAACUUGUGUUCAUCGCCAGCUGCUUUAUCAGCUAUUUCGUUUCCAGGUAUGUUGGUGUGCCCUGGGAUCCAUUGUAGAAGGACUGAGUGGCCAGCAUAGAUUGAGCUUGUAUGGAAUGUGCGUAUUUCCUUCACCAGGGAGGAACAUUCUCACUCUCUGGGAGAGGAAACAGCUGCUAUUGCAGAUUGGGGGUCAGCAGCUCUGGGUACUCAGAGGGAGAAGGUGUGCAGCCUGCCGUGAGUUUGUGGCAGUAUUGACCUGCAAGUUGAAGAACGGGAGUGCCAGUCGAAAGGGAAAGCGCUGUAAAAGUCUGUUGCUGUUGUGAAUCCUCGUUUGCGAUUAACGACUCAAUGGAGGAAUCUACAGAGGAGUUAUCUGACUCAAAGCGAGGUCUCUUAGGAGUGUAGGCUAUCCCACCUGCUACAUUUGAAGAGGUCGGGUCGCCGCCUUCCUUGGAAAGUUCCAUGGCUGUGGAAUUCUUCGGCUGUAUGAUAGCCUAAAUCCACACGGGCGCACAGGUCACACUGCACGCACACGCACUCGUCCCAGUAGACAGCUGGGGCUGCACACACAAGAUGGGUGUUAGCACUGAAAAGUGCUGUUCAACGAAGCAGGGCCCCUGAAGGGGCUGGGAACACUUCAAAUACGCUGGUUCACUCAUUCUUGACCGCUUUGCCCGAAGGUUGGGGUGGCAUGAUGGCAGUGCUUCCAGCAACGACGGGGAAACGGCCAGGCAGGGGUCCGACUCGAACAACAAAACAGUGGUUUAUUGCAUCUUCGACGGGUUUCAGAGAACAGACAGAGCGAACUGGAGAGUCCGCUCCUUAUAAAGCAUUCGAGCGGCCGUGGCGUUACAUACAAUAGAGCACUCACUUCAUUAACAAUAAAAGAACUUUUGCUUA